ACUACUACAAAAAUCAUCAUACAUAACACUUCAUACAUAACGGUUUUUUUCAAAAACCGUUAUGUAUGAGCGCUUUUUUUGCAAAGAUAACGGUUUUCACAAAAAACCGUUAUCUAUGUACUGUUGUCCAUGGAAAUAGAUAACGGUUUAAGUUAAACCGUUAUGUAUAUGCGUUAUCUAUUAGUUUUAUACAUAACGGUACUACAAAACCGUUAAGCCGACCGUUAUCUAUGAGCAUAUUUUUAUAACGGUUAUUUCAACCGUUAUCUAUGAGCGCCUCUCAAUACUAUUAUGUAUUAACAUUUUUUUUUUCUUUUUUUUAAUCAAGUUUUUCAAGCUUCUGCACCACACUCUUAACACUCUUAACACACCCGCCGCCUCCCCCCAAGCUCCCCCCGGUGACGCCGCCCGGACGACGCUGCACGAGCAACCGGACGCCGAUGCCAGUGAGUCAGUGACCGCCCCCCACCCACCCUGCGUCGCGUCGCCUCUGACGCCGCUCUUCUCGCAGCAGCAGAUCGGGCGGCGGAGCACCCCUCUCCUCCGCUGACGCCGUUCUUCUCGCAGCAGCAGAUCGGGCGGCGGAGCACCCCUCUCCUCAGCUGACGCCGCUCUUCUCGCAGCAGCAGCAGCAGAUCGAGCUUUUUGCUUCUCCGUCUGCCACCUACCGCACCCGUCUCUCUCUCUCUCCGUCCGUUAACCCUAGCAGCCACCGUCGGUCGAGCUCUCAAUCGCAGACCCUAGGAGCUGCCGCUGUCGCCGCCGCCUUCUACAAUAGCCACCA
rnacentral:lncRNA from 1 species